ACUGCCCCUUGAGGUGUUGCAGGUGUGGCUGCUGUGUCACAGCUGCAUCACUAGGUGGCAGAGAGAAUCGAGGCUAUGUCUACACUCAGGGUUCCGAUCCCUGAAUGCCUGAAUGAUUAGUAGCCUGACACGG
ensembl:snoRNA